AUCUACAGGCUUAACACAUGCAAGUCGAGGGGCAUCAGGAAGAAAGCUUGCUUUCUUUGCUGGCGACCGGCGCACGGGUGAGUAACACGUAUCCAACCUGCCCUUUACUCGGGGAUAGCCUUUCGAAAGAAAGAUUAAUACCCGAUAGCAUAAUGAUUCCGCAUGGUUUCAUUAUUAAAGGAUUCCGGUAAAGGAUGGGGAUGCGUUCCAUUAGGUUGUUGGUGAGGUAACGGCCCACCAAGCCUUCGAUGGAUAGGGGUUCUGAGAGGAAGGUCCCCCACAUUGGAACUGAGACACGGUCCAAACUCCUACGGGAGGCAGCAGUGAGGAAUAUUGGUCAAUGGGCGCUAGCCUGAACCAGCCAAGUAGCGUGAAGGAUGAAGGCUCUAUGGGUCGUAAACUUCUUUUAUAUAAGAAUAAAGUGCAGUAUGUAUACUGUUUUGUAUGUAUUAUAUGAAUAAGGAUCGGCUAACUCCGUGCCAGCAGCCGCGGUAAUACGGAGGAUCCGAGCGUUAUCCGGAUUUAUUGGGUUUAAAGGGAGCGUAGGUGGACUGGUAAGUCAGUUGUGAAAGUUUGCGGCUCAACCGUAAAAUUGCAGUUGAUACUGUCAGUCUUGAGUACAGUAGAGGUGGGCGGAAUUCGUGGUGUAGCGGUGAAAUGCUUAGAUAUCACGAAGAACUCCGAUUGCGAAGGCAGCUCACUGGACUGCAACUGACACUGAUGCUCGAAAGUGUGGGUAUCAAACAGGAUUAGAUACCCCUGGUAGUCCACACAGUAAACGAUGAAUACUCGCUGUUUGCGAUAUACAGUAAGCGGCCAAGCGAAAGCAUUAAGUAUUCCACCUGGGGAGUACGCCGGCAACGGUGAAACUCAAAGGAAUUGACGGGGGCCCGCACAAGCGGAGGAACAUGUGGUUUAAUUCGAUGAUACGCGAGGAACCUUACCCGGGCUUAAAUUGCAGUGGAAUGAUGUGGAAACAUGUCAGUGAGCAAUCACCGCUGUGAAGGUGCUGCAUGGUUGUCGUCAGCUCGUGCCGUGAGGUGUCGGCUUAAGUGCCAUAACGAGCGCAACCCUUAUCUUUAGUUACUAACAGGUUAUGCUGAGGACUCUAGAGAGACUGCCGUCGUAAGAUGUGAGGAAGGUGGGGAUGACGUCAAAUCAGCACGGCCCUUACGUCCGGGGCUACACACGUGUUACAAUGGGGGGGUACAGAAGGCAGCUAGCGGGUGACCGUAUGCUAAUCCCAAAAUCCUCUCUCAGUUCGGAUCGAAGUCUGCAACCCGACUUCGUGAAGCUGGAUUCGCUAGUAAUCGCGCAUCAGCCACGGCGCGGUGAAUACGUUCCCGGGCCUUGUACACACCGCCCGUCAAGCCAUGGGAGCCGGGGGUACCUGAAGUACGUAACCGCAAGGAUCGUCCUAGGGUAAAACUGGUGACUGGGGCUA
rnacentral:rRNA from 1 species